rnacentral:lncRNA from 1 species
CGGAGCGGCUCUGAGCCGCGCCGCCUGCGGACGUCGACCUCGCCGUUCCGCGGAGCCGCGGGCAGGAACCCGGGCAGCAGGAGGAGGUGGCCGCAGCGGCUGGUCCUCCCAGAGGGCGAUGUGGCCGGCCGGCGCGGGCACCAAGCUGCCCUGUCCCCGGGACUCUGCGCUCCGGCGCGCGGCUUUCUCCGGAAACCUCACGGCCCUCCCUUCUCACCUCGUGCCCGCCGGCCGCAGCGUGCGGGUCUUCAUCAGCGCCAACCCUGAAGAUACAGGAGCAGAAAGACAGGCACUAAGAGAAAAUGUGUAUCCUAAACUGAGAGAAUUCUGUAGAGAAAACUACGGAUUGGAAUUUCAGGUCAUAGAUCUGUACUGGGGAGUUGAUGAAGAAGAAUGGGACAAUCCUGGGCUCCAGAAGACACGUAUGAAGCUGCUGGAAGAUUGCUUGAAAACCUCUGCAGGUCCAUGUUUUGUUGUGGGUAUAAAAAAACUAAUGCUUUAUAUUAAAUUGUAGAUGAAUGUGAGAAUUCUUGCUGAUUUGUGACUUUUUAAGGACUUUUAUAAUAAGCAGAAAAGACUUUUUACAUCUGUUUUUAAAAAUUCAAAUUGUCUCUGUGCCCUCAAUAUGUGAGAACAAAACCUUCUUCAGCUUCUCACAAGAAGUGCUGCAAAGUAACAGUGAAUAAUUUGAAAUGUUAAUCAAAGGGAUGACUUGGGUUUGACAACAAUUUCUACACCUUGUGAUCAGCAAGAAGGAUUACAGUUUCAGUCCUGUAGUAAUUAACCUAGUUUUCCUUGUCCUGUUGUACAGUGUAUUCCAUCAUUGUGUGUCUGUCUCUCAACAUUAGAAUUUCUGGCAUCUUUUUAACACAGUGGCUGAAACACUGUCAAAGCAAACUAAAUACACAAUAUCGAAUCUGCCAGUAGGAAAUGGUGCCCUGUGAAAGAGUUUGUUUCUGCAGUGAUCUUCAGCUAGAGGCUCAUUAUAAGCUACAAGUCAACAGAGAUGUUUCAAAUAGAACAUUAUUAUUAGUUCAGUAUUCUUUUCUGAAGAAUGCUCACU